rnacentral:tRNA from 1 species
GAGGCUGUAGCUCAGUCCGUUGUAAUUGAGAAAUCUGUUAUACAGUUUUUCGUUGCAGACUCAGGAGAGCAAUCGGCUGAAGACCGAUGUGUCGGGAGUUCAAAUCUCCCCAGCCUCA